rnacentral:tRNA from 1 species
GGUGGCUGUGGCUCAGUGGUAGAGCGGUCGCCCGCCAAUCGGAAGGUUGGUGGUUCGAUCACACCUGGCACCU